UUAGUUGACAUUUGUAUGGAGUUGGAACGUUUGCCGCUAGGGGCGCUGUUCCAACUGCAUACAAAUUUGAGUUA
rfam:Bombyx mori DNA, contig: Bm_scaf28_contig18127, strain: p50T/Dazao, build 2, whole genome shotgun sequence.